UACGUAGGGUGCAAGCGUUGUCCGGAAUUAUUGGGCGUAAAGAGCUCGUAGGCGGUUUGUCGCGUCUGCUGUGAAAAUCCAGGGCUUAACCCUGGACCUGCAGUGGGUACGGGCAGACUAGAGUGCGGUAGGGGAGAUCGGAAUUCCUGGUGUAGCGGUGAAAUGCGCAGAUAUCAGGAGGAAUACCGAUGGCGAAGGCAGGUCUCUGGGCUGACACUGACGCUCAUGCACGAAAGCGUGGGGAUCAAACAGG
rnacentral:rRNA from 1 species